rnacentral:rRNA from 1 species
UAAGUGUUAGAGGGUUUCCGCCCUUUAGUGCUGCAGCUAACGCAUUAAGCACUCCGCCUGGGGAGUACGGUCGCAAGACUGAAACUCAAAGGAAUUGACGGGGGCCCGCACAAGCGGUGGAGCAUGUGGUUUAAUUCGAAGCAACGCGAAGAACCUUACCAAAUCUUGACAUCCUUUGACAACUCUAGAGAUAGAGCCUUCCCCUUCGGGGGACAAAGUGACAGGCGGUGCCUGGUUGUCGUCAGCUCGUGUCGUGAGAU